UGGGCGUAAAGGGCUCGCAGGCGGUUUCUUAAGUCUGAUGUGAAAGCCCCCGGCUCAACCGGGGAGGGUCAUUGGAAACUGGGAAACUUGAGUGCAGAAGAGGAGAGUGGAAUUCCACGUGUAGCGGUGAAAUGCGUAGAGAUGUGGAGGAACACCAGUGGCGAAGGCGACUCUCUGGUCUGUAACUGACGCUGAGGAGCGAAAGCGUGGGGAGCGAACAGGAUUAGAUACCCUGGUAGUCCACGCCGUAAACGAUGAGUGCUAAGUGUUAGGGGGUUUCCGCCCCUUAGUGCUGCAGCUAACGCAUUAAGCACUCCGCCUGGGGAGUACGGUCGCAAGACUGAAACUCAAAGGAAUUGACGGGGGCCCGCACAAGCGGUGGAGCAUGUGGUUUAAUUCGAAGCAACGCGAAGAACCUUACCAGGUCUUGACAUCCUCUGACAACCCUAGAGAUAGGGCUUUCCCUUCGGGGACAGAGUGACAGGUGGUGCAUGGUUGUCGUCAGCUCGUGUCGUGAGAUGUUGGGUUAAGUCCCGCAACGAGCGCAACCCUUGAUCUUAGUUGCCAGCAUUCAGUUGGGCACUCUAAGGUGACUGCCGGUGACA
rnacentral:rRNA from 1 species